UAGAGUUGUGGUCACUACACUGGAGUC
rnacentral:piRNA from 3 species